UACGGAGGGUGCGAGCGUUGUCCGGAAUCACUGGGCGUAAAGGGCGCGUAGGUGGCGCGACAAGUCAACGGUGAAAGCUCGGCGCUCAACGCCGAGUCGGCCGUCGAUACUGUCGGGCUUGAGCACUGUAGAGGCAGAUGGAAUUCCGGGUGUAGCGGUGGAAUGCGCAGAUAUCAGGAGGAACACCGGUGGCGAAGGCGGGUCUCUGGGCAGUAACUGACGCUGAGGAGCGAAAGCGUGGGGAGCGAACAGG
rnacentral:rRNA from 1 species